rnacentral:rRNA from 1 species
UAGGGAAUCUUCGGCAAUGGACGAAAGUCUGACCGAGCAACGCCGCGUGAGUGAAGAAGGUUUUCGGGUCGUAAAGCUCUGUUGUUGGUGAAGAAGGAUAGAGGCAGUAACUGGUCUUUAUUUGACGGUAAUCAACCAGAAAGUCACGGCUAACUACGUGCCAC